UGGGUGACCUGCCCUCAGCUCUGGGAUAAGCCUGGGAAACUGGGUCUAAUACCGGAUAUUCACUGCCUGUCGCAUGGUGGGUGGUGGAAAGUUUUUUCGGCUGGGGAUGGGCCCGCGGCCUAUCAGCUUGUUGGUGGGGUGAUGGCCUACCAAGGCGACGACGGGUAGCCGGCCUGAGAGGGCGUCCGGCCACACUGGGACUGAGACACGGCCCAGACUCCUACGGAAG
rnacentral:rRNA from 1 species